GACGAACGCUGGCGGCGUGCUUAACACAUGCAAGUCGAACGGAAAGGCCCUGCUUUUGUGGGGUGCUCGAGUGGCGAACGGGUGAGUAACACGUGAGUAACCUGCCCUUGACUUUGGGAUAACUUCAGGAAACUGGGGCUAAUACCGGAUAGGAGCUCCUGCUGCAUGGUGGGGGUUGGAAAGUUUCGGCGGUUGGGGAUGGACUCGCGGCUUAUCAGCUUGUUGGUGGGGUAGUGGCUUACCAAGGCUUUGACGGGUAGCCGGCCUGAGAGGGUGACCGGCCACAUUGGGACUGAGAUACGGCCCAGACUCCUACGGGAGGCAGCAGUGGGGAAUAUUGCACAAUGGGCGGGAGCCUGAUGCAGCAACGCCGCGUGCGGGAUGACGGCCUUCGGGUUGUAAACCGCUUUCGCCUGUGACGAAGCGUGAGUGACGGUAAUGGGUAAAGAAGCACCGGCUAACUACGUGCCAGCAGCCGCGGUGAUACGUAGGGUGCGAGCGUUGUCCGGAUUUAUUGGGCGUAAAGGGCUCGUAGGUGGUUGAUCGCGUCGGAAGUGUAAUCUUGGGGCUUAACCCUGAGCGUGCUUUCGAUACGGGUUGACUUGAGGAAGGUAGGGGAGAAUGGAAUUCCUGGUGGAGCGGUGGAAUGCGCAGAUAUCAGGAGGAACACCAGUGGCGAAGGCGGUUCUCUGGGCCUUUCCUGACGCUGAGGAGCGAAAGCGUGGGGAGCGAACAGGCUUAGAUACCCUGGUAGUCCACGCUGUAAACGGUGGGUACUAGGUGUGGGGUCCAUUCCACGGGUUCCGUGCCGUAGCUAACGCUUUAAGUACCCCGCCUGGGGAGUACGGCCGCAAGGCUAAAACUCAAAGGAAUUGACGGGGCCCCGCACAAGCGGCGGAGCAUGCGGAUUAAUUCGAUGCAACGCGUAGAACCUUACCUGGGUUUGACAUGGAUCGGGAGUGCUCAGAGAUGGGUGUGCCUCUUUUGGGGUCGGUUCACAGGUGGUGCAUGGCUGUCGUCAGCUCGUGUCGUGAGAUGUUGGGUUAAGUCCCGCAACGAGCGCAACCCUUGUUCACUGUUGCCAGCACGUUAUGGUGGGGACUCAGUGGAGACCGCCGGGGUCAACUCGGAGGAAGGUGGGGAUGACGUCAAGUCAUCAUGCCCCUUAUGUCCAGGGCUUCACGCAUGCUACAAUGGCUGGUACAGAGAGUGGCGAGCCUGUGAGGGUGAGCGAAUCUCGGAAAGUCGGUCUCAGUUCGGAUUGGGGUCUGCAACUCGACCUCAUGAAGUCGGAGUCGCUAGUAAUCGCAGAUCAGCAACGCUGCGGUGAAUACGUUCCCGGGGCU
rnacentral:rRNA from 1 species